CCCGGGUCUUGUACACACCGCCCGUCACACCUAUGGGAGCGGGAUGUACCAGAAGUAGGUAGGCUAACCGCAAGGGGGCCGCUUACCACGGUGCGUUUCGUGACUGGGGUG
rnacentral:rRNA from 1 species